rnacentral:rRNA from 1 species
CCUACGGGGGGCAGCAGUAGGGAAUUUUCGGCAAUGGGGGGAACCCUGACCGAGCAACGCCACGUGAACGAAGAAGUUAUUCGUAAUGUAACGUUCUUUUAACAGGGAAGAAAGAGAAAUUUGAUGGUAACUGAAGAAUAAGCUCCGGCUAACUACGUGCCAGCGACCGCGGUAAUACGUAGGGAGCGACCGUUAUCCGGAAUGAUGGGGGUUAAGGGGUGCGUAGAUGGCAUAGUAAGUCUUUUGUAAGAAUGCUGGGCUCAACCCGGUAGGGCAAAAGAUACUGCAAAGCUAGAGUAUGACAGAGGCAAGUGGAACUACAUGUGUAGCGGUAAAAUGCGUAAAUAUAUGUAAGAACACCAGUGGCGAAGGCGGCUUGCUGGGUCGAUACUGACAUUGAGGCACGAAAGCGUGGGGAGCAAACAGGAUUAGAUACCCCAGUAGUC